rnacentral:SRP_RNA from 10 species
GCCGGGCGUGGUGGCGGGCGCCUGUAGUCCCAGCUACCUGGGAGGCUGAGGCAGGAGAAUUGCUUGAACCCGGGAGGCAGAGCUUGCAGUGAGCCGAGAUCGCGCCACUGCACUCCAGCCUGGGUGACAGAGAGAGACUCUGUCUCAAAAAAAAAGAAGACAGGGUCUCACUCUGUCUCCCAGGCUGAAGUGCAACGGCAGGAUCUUGGCACACUGCAGCCUCCACCUCCCAGGCUCAAGUAAUCCACCCACCUC